rnacentral:rRNA from 1 species
UGAGGAAGAUAAUGACGGUACUCAACAAGGAAGUGACGGCUAACUACGUGCCAGCAGCCGCGGUAAAACGUAGGUCACAAGCGUUGUCCGGAAUUACUGGGUGUAAAGGGAGCGCAGGCGGGAGAACAAGUUGGAAGUGAAAUCCAUGGGCUCAACCCAUGAACUGCUUUCAAAACUGUUUUUCUUGAGUAGUGCAGAGGUAGGCGGAAUUCCCGGUGUAGCGGUGGAAUGCGUAGAUAUCGGGAGGAACACCAGUGGCGAAGGCGGCCUACUGGGCACCAACUGACGCUGAGGCUCGAAAGUGUGGGUAGCAAACAGGAUUAGAUACCCUGGUAGUCCACACCGUAAACGAUGAUUACUAGGUGUUGGAGGAUUGACCCCUUCAGUGCCGCAGUUAACACAAUAAGUAAUCCACCUGGGGAGUACGACCGCAAGGUUGAAACUCAAAGGAAUUGACGGGGGCCCGCACAAGCAGUGGAGUAUGUGGUUUAAUUCGACGCAACGCGAAGAACCUUACCAAGUCUUGACAUCCCUUGACGAACAUAGAAAUAUGUUUUCUCUUCGGAGCAAGGAGACAGGUGGUGCAUGGUUGUCGUCAGCUCGUGUCGUGAGAUGUUGGGUUAAGUCCCGCAACGAGCGCAACCCUUAUGGUCAGUUACUACGCAAGAGGACUCUGGCCGGACU